AGAGCACAGCCUGGCAAACCUGCACAAGGUUCCUUCCACCAUAUAGAGAAGCCGCUGCUGCCUGUGACUGACAGGUUGGGAGGUCUACUGCCCUGGGGAAGAAGGCAGUCACGGCAGAAAAGGAGUUUCCAACAGAAGAAGUAGAAAUCCUGGUCAAGCCUCCUAUGGAGUGUAGAAAGAAGAGAGGCAGAGGAAUUGCAGCAAAUGAUCAGGUUGUCCGAGUCAGAAAUGUGAGAGUGGUUUAGCC
rnacentral:lncRNA from 1 species